rnacentral:rRNA from 1 species
GACGAACGCUGGCGGCGUGCUUAACACAUGCAAGUCGAACGGAAAGGCCCUGCUUUUGUGGGGUGCUCGAGUGGCGAACGGGUGAGUAACACGUGAGUAACCUGCCCUUGACUUUGGGAUAACUUCAGGAAACUGGGGCUAAUACCGGAUAGGAGCUCCUGCUGCAUGGUGGGGGUUGGAAAGUUUCGGCGGUUGGGGAUGGACUCGCGGCUUAUCAGCUUGUUGGUGGGGUAGUGGCUUACGAAGGCUUUGACGGGUAGCCGGCCUGGGAGGGUGGCCGGCCACAUUGGGACUGCGAUAGGGCCCAGACUGCUACGGGAGGCAGCAGUGGGGAAUUUUGCACAAUGGGCGGAAGCCUGAGGCAGCAACGCCGCGUGCGGGAUGACGGCCUUCGGGUUGUAAACCGCUUUCGCCUGUGACGAAGCGUGAGUGACGGUAAUGGGUAAAGAAGCACCGGCUAACUACGUG